UACGUAGGUGGCAAGCGUUGUCCGGAUUUACUGGGCGUAAAGAGCACGCAGGCGGUCGUUCAAGUCGCGUGUGAAAGCCCCCGGCUCAACUGGGGAGGGUCACGCGAUACUGAUCGACUCGAAGGCAGGAGAGGGAAGUGGAAUUCCCGGUGUAGUGGUGAAAUGCGUAGAUAUCGGGAGGAACACCAGUGGCGAAGGCGACUUCCUGGCCUGUUCUUGACGCUGAGGCGCGAAAGCUAGGGUAGCAAACGGG
rnacentral:rRNA from 1 species